rnacentral:rRNA from 1 species
CCCACUAUGCCACGAAGUAAACUACGACUUUUACAUGUUCGCCAGAAAAUUACGAGCAAUUUUAGCCUAAAACUCAAAAGACUUGACGGUGUCCCAAACUACCUAGAGGAGCCUGUUACAUAAUCGACAAUCCACGAUCAACCCCACCACCCCUCGAACCCAACCUUCCAGCCUAUAUACCGCCGUCACCAGCUUACCCCUCAAAAGCAUCAAAGUAAGCAUAAUAGUAUUCUACUAAUACGUCAGGUCAAGGUGUAGCCUAUGAGGUGGCGCCAAUGGGCUACAUUAUCUAACAUAGAUCACCUACGAACUAUUUUUUGACAAAAUCAUACAAAGGCGGAUUUAGCAGUAAAUUAAGCAAGAAUACUUAACUUAACAUUUGCCCUGGGACAUGUACACACCGCCC